GAUGAACGCUAGCUACAGGCUUAACACAUGCAAGUCGAGGGGCAGCAUGGUCUUAGCUUGCUAAGGCCGAUGGCGACCGGCGCACGGGUGAGUAACACGUAUCCAACCUGCCGUCUACUCUUGGACAGCCUUCUGAAAGGAAGAUUAAUACAAGAUGGCAUCAUGAGUCCGCAUGUUCACAUGAUUAAAGGUAUUCCGGUAGACGAUGGGGAUGCGUUCCAUUAGAUAGUAGGCGGGGUAACGGCCCACCUAGUCUUCGAUGGAUAGGGGUUCUGAGAGGAAGGGCCCCCACAUUGGAACUGAGACAAGGUCCAAACUCAUACGGGAGGCAGCAGUGAGGAAUAUUGGUCAAUGGGAGAGAGCCUGAACCAGCCAAGUAGCGUGAAGGAUGAUUGCCCUAUGGGUUGUAAACUUCUUUUAUAAAGGAAUAAAGUCGGGUAUGGAUACCCGUUUGCAUGUACUUUAUGAAUAAGGAUCGGCUAACUCCGUG
rnacentral:rRNA from 1 species